rnacentral:lncRNA from 1 species
UGGACUAAAGCAAUCGCAUUUAAGGAGUUCGAUGAUCACAAAUAGAAGAUGGGUAUUUAAUACCAAUCUGAUUGACUUUAGUCUAAGUGAGAGUUGUUGAGAAAUAUAUCCUAAAGUCAAUCAUCUAGGUUGUAGAUGAUUGUGCUCUAUACAUAUAUAUGAAUUAUAAAAUGAUAAAUAUUAUGUGGUAGAUUCAUCAUAAGGAAUACAUCUUCCUAAAU